GGCCUCAUCGUCUAACAGUUAGGACGGAAGCUUCUCAAGCUUUAAAUCCGGGUGCGAUUCCCGGUGAGGUCA
rnacentral:tRNA from 1 species